GAGUUUGAUUAUGGCUCAGAUUGAACGCUGGCGGCAGGCUUAACACAUGCAAGUCGAACGGUAGCAGGAGAAAGCUUGCUUUCUUGCUGACGAGUGGCGGACGGGUGAGUAAUGCUUGGGAAUCUGGCUUAUGGAGGGGGAUAACCAUUGGAAACGAUGGCUAAUACCGCGUAAUAUCGGAAGAUUAAAGACUGGGACUUUAGCCAGUUGCCAUAAGAUGAGCCCAAGUGGGAUUAGGUAGUUGGUGGGGUAAAGGCCUACCAAGCCAUCGAUCUCUAGCUGGUCUGAGAGGAUGACCAGCCACACUGGAACUGAGACACGGUCCAGACUCCUACGGGAGGCAGCAGUGGGGAAUAUUGCGCAAUGGGGGCAACCCUGACGCAGCCAUGCCGCGUGAAUGAAGAAGGCCUUCGGGUUGUAAAGUUCUUUCGGUGAUGAGGAAGGUUGUGAUGUUAAUAGCAUGACAAAUGACGUAUCCCNAAGC
rnacentral:rRNA from 1 species